rnacentral:rRNA from 1 species
GACGAACGCUGGCGGCGUGCUUAACACAUGCAAGUCGAACGGAAAGGCCCUGCUUUUGUGGGGUGCUCGAGUGGCGAACGGGUGAGUAACACGUGAGUAACCUGCCCUUGACUUUGGGAUAACUUCAGGAAACUGGGGCUAAUACCGGAUAGGAGCUCCUGCUGCAUGGUGGGGGUUGGAAAGUUUCGGCGGUUGGGGAUGGACUCGCGGCUUAUCAGCUUGUUGGUGGGGUAGUGGCUUACCAAGGCUUUGACGGGUAGCCGGCCUGCGAGGGUGACCGGCCACAUUGGUACUGAGAUACGGCCCAGACUCCUACGGGAGGCAGCAGUGGGGAAUAUUGCACAAUGGGCGGAAGCCUGAUGCAGCAACGCCGCGUGCGGGAUGACGGCCUUCGGGUUGUAAACCGCUUUCGCCUGUGACGAAGCGUGAGUGACGGUAAUGGGUAAAGAAGCACCGGCUAACUACGUG